rnacentral:rRNA from 1 species
CCAGACUCCUACGGGAGGCAGCAGUGGGGAAUAUUGCACAAUGGGCGCAAGCCUGAUGCAGCGACGCCGCGUGCGGGAUGGAGGCCUUCGGGUUGUAAACCGCUUUUGUUCAAGGGCAAGGCACGGUCUUUGGCCGUGUUGAGUGGAUUGUUCGAAUAAGCACCGGCUAACUACGUGCCAGCAGCCGCGGUAAUACGUAGGGUGCAAGCGUUAUCCGGAUUUAUUGGGCGUAAAGGGCUCGUAGGCGGUUCGUCGCGUCCGGUGUGAAAGUCCAUCGCUUAACGGUGGAUCCGCGCCGGGUACGGGCGGGCUUGAGUGCGGUAGGGGAGACUGGAAUUCCCGGUGUAACGGUGGAAUGUGUAGAUAUCGGGAAGAACACCAAUGGCGAAGGCAGGUCUCUGGGCCGUUACUGACGCUGAGGAGCGAAAGCGUGGGGAGCGAACAGGAUUAGAUACCCGAGUA